rnacentral:rRNA from 1 species
CUCCCCGAAAGCUAUUUAGGUAGCGCCUCGUGAAUUCAUCUCCGGGGGUAGAGCACUGUUUCGGCAAGGGGGUCAUCCCGACUUACCAACCCGAUGCAAACUGCGAAUACCGGAGAAUGUUAUCACGGGAGACACACGGCGGGUGCUAACGUCCGUCGUGAAGAGGGAAACAACCCAGACCGCCAGCUAAGGUCCCAAAGUCAUGGUUAAGUGGGAAACGAUGUGGGAAGGCCCAGACAGCCAGGAUGUUGGCUUAGAAGCAGCCAUCAUUUAAAGAAAGCGUAAUAGCUCACUGGUCGAGUCGGCCUGCGCGGAAGAUGUAACGGGGCUAAACCAUGCACCGAAGCUGCGGCAGCGACGCUGAUGCGUUGUUGGGUAGGGGAGCGUUCUGUAAGCCUGUGAAGGUGUGCUGUGAGGCAUGCUGGAGGUAUCAGAAGUGCGAAUGCUGACAUAAGUAACGAUAAAGCGGGUGAAAAGCCCGCUCGCCGGAAGACCAAGGGUUCCUGUCCAACGUUAAUCGGGGCAGGGUGAGUCGACCCCUAAGGCGAGGCCGAAAGGCGUAGUCGAUGGGAAACAGGUUAAUAUUCCUGUACUUGGUGUUACUGCGAAGGGGGGACGGAGAAGGCUAUGUUGGCCGGGCGACGGUUGUCCCGGUUUAAGCGUGUAGGCUGGUUUUCCAGGCAAAUCCGGAAAACUAAGGCUGAGGCGUGAUGACGAGGCACUACGGUGCUGAAGCAACAAAUGCCCUGCUUCCAGGAAAAGCCUCUAAGCAUCAGGUAACAUCAAAUCGUACCCCAAACCGACACAGGUGGUCAGGUAGAGAAUACCAAGGCGCUUGAGAGAACUCGGGUGAAGGAACUAGGCAAAAUGGUGCCGUAACUUCGGGAGAAGGCACGCUGAUAUGUAGGUGAAGUCCCUCGCGGAUGGAGCUGAAAUCAGUCGAAGAUACCAGCUGGCUGCAACUGUUUAUUAAAAACACAGCACUGUGCAAACACGAAAGUGGACGUAUACGGUGUGACGCCUGCCCGGUGCCGGAAGGUUAAUUGAUGGGGUCAGCGCAAGCGAAGCUCUUGAUCGAAGCCCCGGUAAACGGCGGCCGUAACUAUAACGGUCCUAAGGUAGCGAAAUUCCUUGUCGGGUAAGUUCCGACCUG